UUAAGAAAUUGAAAAAGCUAGAGUUUUAAUAUAAGCCCUAAUUUCCAAAUCAAAACUUCUGAAACAUGGUCUCAUGUGUUACUGAAUCUCUCAGAACGUAUAAGCUAUAUCCAUUCUUUUUUUCACCUGUCACUCAUUCAAUAACAUUUACUUUCACCUGAAAAAACCCCCACAGAUUUGAAGGGAAAGUGCAAGGUAUGUAUUGGUGGAUGUGAAAUAUGGUUUGAUGAAAACAAAAUGUGAAGUCAAGCCUCUGAGAGCUAGUGUACACCACUUCAUGAAAUCCCUUCUCCUUUCUUCCUUUGAUAUGAAGAGGUUUUAGGUAUUUAUUUAUGCACAAUUGUACUCAAUUCUUUUCUGCACUUUACCUUUCAUUUAGCCUAAACCCGGGCACACAUUGUUCUGAUUUCAAUACCAUAGGACAUCUGGCCUCAUCCUUUAGCGCACUGUAAGAUAAAUAUAAUUCAAGCCUCCAUUUCUCCAUCAUGCCCUUCUUUAUCAUCCCAUAAGAAUACAGAACUUACAGUCUGCAAUACUCAUCUCAUAUGCAAAGGUGAACUGUAACGCUGGAAGACAUUCAAAAUCCUCUCACCGCUAGGGUAAUUGUCUGAUGGGGUGAGCCUCAGCUGGGAGUAGUGGCUGUGCUGGUGGAUAUAUUUUGGUAUGAGUGGAAAAUUGGAAUAAGUCAAGAAAGAUCUGAGUAAACAAAGACUUCAUGACUGACCAAGGAAUUGAGCCCACAGACCUCUAGCAGUUUAAUUUUUUUCCCUCUGCCUCAUGUGCACCCUAAGUUCCUUGGCCUGGUGAGUUUUUAGUGUGAACUUUCUGUCCUUUCACUUAUAUUGCUUUGGUUAGCUGAAGGGAGGAGAGCAUAGCUAAUAUUCGGGUCUACCAGAUGCAGGGAAGAGGGACUCUCAAACUUUUAAGUGGCAGAAGCAGAAAGAAACAAAACUAGAGUGAAAAAAUUGGUGUCACAAGGAAGACUGAGGAAUUUUCUGAUACAUGUCUUACACAAAUGACCAUUAGUGACUUCUAAGUAUUUCAAAGGAACAGUAUCAGAAAAUGAUGGGUUUCUUGCUACACAGACUUACAGCAAUUCCUUUGUUAUCGCUGGGUAUCUGGCUGUUGCCAUGAGCAUAACACAGAAAAAUGCAAUUCUUUGUAAUAGGAUUAGAUUUUAAAAAAAAAGCAGCAGUGUCUCUGGUGAAAGCAUCACCUACAGCUAGCCUCAGCAGUGCUGACUCUGUGUUAGCUUUUACAAGCAGGUCACGGCACAGGCAGGUGCUGACAAGCUUUUCUUCUCUGUUAAAUGCAGCUGAGAGGCUCAAAGCAAUGGCUUCCCCAGGGACCAGGCCUCCCGUCCAACCUGACAGAGAUGGAGAAGCAGGAGAUCACUUCUUGUUUUAUUCUUGCUAGGCCUGCAAAGAUUUUCUUUUAAUAUACAAAACAGCCAUCAGACUGAAUGCAAGGUGGUGGCAGGGUGGAAAUGCAGUGGGUCCGGAAGGGGCUGGCCUGGUGGGUUGUGGAGGUACCUGGCAAGGGAAAUAGCUGCAUGGUCUUUUUUCUGGAGGAGAGGGAAAUGAUGCCAGUGGAAGGAGCUGAAAAAAAUCACUUGCAAGUGGGUCAUUUUCAAUUGCUGUAAAUGAAAAAGUCACACUGAGGCAGAAUAUUACAUUCAGUCGCCUGCCACUGAGAAUGGCAGUCAACCACUUGUAGAAAGAUUAGCAAAGGAAGCAACUGGGAGAAGCUGAAAAAAGGGCUCUGGGUCAUAAAAUGCGGCAAGAAUGGGUCCCAUUAUGAGGAAUUACAGACAUUUUUCUCAUUCCAAGAACUCUAACAAGACACUAAGAAUUUGGCUUCUUCUCCCAGAUCUGUUUUAACUUUCUGUCAUGGAGUUGAUCAGUACUAAAAAUAACUGGGAAACCUUUAGCACUUGCUCCCAAAAAUCUGUGCAGGGAGCUAUAUGCCAGCCAGCUAGGGCAGAAUAGGAUGAAGCUGUUCAUAUGGAGAAAUAUAAUGAAGACAGAUAUUGGUGGAGAACUAGGAGUGAGGAGGAGUCCCUUCUCUAUCCUACUUCCAGAGUAAAAAAACCACAAUGAGGUAGGCUGUGAUGAUUAUACUUUCUUUGUGAUGAGGGAAAUGACAAGUUGUUAUAAGUUACCUCAUUGAGUAAAGCUGCCUACAUGGGGGGAAAAAGGUCAGUUAAAGGUAAUGCCUGAGGAGCUGUUACAGAUUAGACUGAAUUUGCACUCUGUGAUAAGAGCUCACCUGUGCCUUCAGGCAUGCCCCCAAGUAAAGGGCAUGAGCAGUACACUGCUCUACAGGAACACGCUGGAAGCCUUGGUGCCUCAGUUUCUCUCUUGAGGGAAGUAAUUUGCUUUUCACCUGUUCUGGAUGGUGAAGUGGAUAGAAAUGAGUAAUUCUGUAGUUUCUUCAGCCAGAUUUCUGCAGUUUCUCUGCAGAAGCAGUGAUUUUGAUAGUAUUCUUCUAAACAACCAUGCUGGUUAUCGCAGCUGUUCAAAUCCAAGCACAAUAAUUUCCUGCUCUCCGUACAAACUCAAACUAUUAAUCUUUUCUUCUUUCUCAAACCUCACAGUACCUGUAAAUAACUAGCCAAAAACAGAGAUAUGGGUUUUGACCACUGAUUGCUUUUAUUGGCAAAAGAAACAGAAAUAUUCCCCCUUAUUGUACAGCAAUAUCGAGCAUUCAAGGGAUCUGCAACCACUAUAUGGCAUCAAUCUGCCACGUAGCUUUUGACGGACAUCUUUCUGUACCUUUAUAAAUCACCCGUCUACUACUUUUGAUGUAAAGAUCCCAUCUAAGAAAAUGGGCAUUGUUGAUGUGCUCAGUAACAGCACCGGUCUCACUGGAACCAUGGGGGAGUCCGACCCGGCAGGCCCUAGAGUGAGCUGUAGGUUGGGGUUGAGAUCAUCUGAGCAGUGAUUAUGUUUUAUCCUUGCAAACAGGCUGACCUGCCAUCCAGUGAAAUGAAGGGUUAGAAGCAACGGUAGGGAAUUACGUGGGCUGCAAAUCGGCAUAUUUGAAAAAUAACAUCCUUCACUUCAAACAGAGUUACUGUGAACUCACUUGAUUUCUUUGAAAUGCACCUAUUGAAAUAAUUAUCAUAAAUAGUAAUGAAAGGGCCAGAAAAAAAUAUGUAGUUUUGCCUCUGGCUAAGAUAAAAUUGUAUAUACUAAAAACAUAGCAUGAGAGCUUGUUACUUCGGAGCCUUUUUCUGUUUUACGUAUUUUAAAUUCCCCAUUUCUGUAGCACCGGUGCACCUCCCAGUUUACCAGGGCACUGCCUUUACAACUGCCUUACAAGGUAGGGAAUCCAUUUUCUGUAUGAGACAUGAGGUGUAGGUGGGUUAAAUGAUUUCCAUGAGGUCAUUGAGGAGGCCAGCGCACCCCAGUUCCUUGCUUGGAGAGCCAUGUCCCAGGGAGCCUGCUCAGGGCAGGCAGCGGGAGCCCAAUUGCUUCACUACUAUUUGGAGCCUCACUACAAAUGGGUGUAUGAAAAUAUCCCCCUCACAUGUGCCUUUAGGGAAACAAGAUGUGCCCAUGACACGAGAACAAUGAGCACACCUCAAAAUAAAGCACCCCAAAAGAGAAACCUGCUGUCCCCACACCUAAAGCCAUCCUGGCGUCCUAGGGGCCGAAUCAUGGAUUUCGGUUCCUAUAAACAGCCCGCCAAGUCUAGGUAGGUAAAACUCCCCUUUGCUUCUGCUGGGCUUAUAAAGGCAGGGCUGAGUCAGCAGUCAUUCUGAUGCUGGGUUAUUUCCUUACCAAACUCUGAAUCCCACAGGCCAGGUCACACAGCCAGCUGUCACUGUACCACAACAAAAGCAUUUUCCCAUGCAAACUGAAGAUGAGAGUAGUGCCAUUUCCCCUGCAAGCUCUCCAGUGCUGCAAGGGAGGCCUGUGUUUACAGGAAGCUGCAGCCUGACUGGUGACCUUACACGUCGCUCUUUCCCCAGCUCUGCCUAUGAGUGCAGAAGAGCCACAGUGUCAUCUUUGGCCGAGUCACCCUGGGGAGUUAGCUCAGCUGUGACACGGAGCAUAUUAGCCAAAUGCUGCACAAAUCUGACAGCGCUGCUUCCAGGGAUGGUCUGAAGCUGGCAGCAGACUGCUGCUCUUGGGCAGUAAAGCUGGACAGGGUUUGAUGCAGCUCAUAGCUGACAUGCCCUGCAGGAGCACAUCAGAGGUGCACUUUGCACUCUGCUGUACAGCUCCUGCGCAACACCACUGCCCAACCACGGGCGCCGGGAUGCACCGGGCACCACAGCUAUCUGCGCUGCAGCCUCCGGCUCUUCCCACCAGCCAGGCAGGCCCAGCGUCCAUCCCACCUCACCGCACUGGGACUCUGCUCGCACAGCUCUCAGACGGAAUUUGGAAAAAGAAUAAUCCUUCCUAUAAUGACUAUAAGUGUAGAAAAAUUAUUAAUAGCCACAGGGAAAGAUGGGGAAGCUGCUGAGGAACAAUUUGAAUUGAGGGUAGGGUUGGGUUUUCUUUAACUGAGACAAACUAAGAUAUGGGAAAAGUGCCAGAGGAGAAUGAAGGGCUGAAGGGAGGCAAGACACUGAGCGAUCAGGAGCAGAACUGAGAUCACUGCCUAAGUGCAGCAUGAAAGAGACCAGAAGAGACAUUUUCGACUGAUGGACAAGGAUGAAGCAGCUAUGGAAAGAAGGUCAAACAAGGAGCGAGAAUAAGGGUGGAAGAUGAGACGUUCAGAGCAAUUAAGGACAGACCAGGAGAAUCCAGCUAUCUCUGGCCCUGGAGGGCAGAAGGGAACAAGAGUGGACAGCUAUGCCUAAGGGAAAGGCCUGCCAGUCUGCUUGGACCUCUGAAGGAGUAACUCCAGCAUGCACGGGACAGGCAGCAGCUGAGAUUGCUCUCCUGCUCCACAGACCCAGGGUGUCUAUCGGAAGACAAAUUUUCCCAGCAUUUGACCCAUGUUGCUGCUGUUAUCUACUACUAAUCUAGAGAAGGAAACCUUUCUUGUGCCUUGUGACUCACAUCAGGAUAGUGAAGAAUAAAAGCUGCCUCCAGCUCCCUCUGAAGGAGAGAUAGGAUCGUAAGAGGAUGGGAAAAAUUCAGUGAAGUUUAGGGGAAACCAUGCUGGCGCGCAAGUGAGGAGCCAGUACUGUGGUUGCCACACCAGCCUGAAGACUGCUUCUUAGCAGAUACUUAUUCUGUCAUAAACUUUCACUGAAAUUUUUAUUUGGAGAUUAACCUUGCCAUGCUCUGGUUUUCCCUCUGUUGCUUUAGAAUGACCGUAUUUCAUAUGGGUCUCGUGUGCGCUGAAACAAACUGCAUGCUGGGAUACCCAGUGAUGGAUAUUUCCCAAGGUUCCAAUUUUUCACUGUUCACAUAUUAGGAUCUCAGCUGAGCUAGAUUUCCAGCUGAAUACCAGGAAAAGAUAGUUUUAUAUAAAGGAAGCAGAACUUGUAGGCUUUCAUUCUUUCUCUUCCCUCCUUCCUGAAGAAAAAGGCUUCUUCAACUCCAGAUAUCUACAAGUUAAUAUAAAUACUGACUUUAUGUAAGCACUCACUUGGGUUACAAAAUAUUGGAAUAGUUUGUUGUUCUCUUUUAAACAACUGGCGGUGUGCCUUGUAGGGCAGACCUCUUCUGCUGUAAUUCUCAGUACAGCUUUGCCGAAAGCAUGAGAGAUGGAUUUAGCCUCGAAUUCUCAAGUCCAGCUGUUGGGAUUUUCUAUCUUAAA